rnacentral:rRNA from 1 species
UGGUCAAGUUAUUAAGGGUGCAGGGCGGAUGCCUUGGCACUAGGAGCCGAUGAAGGACGUGAUAAGCUGCGAUAAGCUUCGGGGAGUUGCACGUAAACUUUGAUCCGAAGAUUUCCGAAUGAGGAAACUCACUUAGAGUAAUGUCUAAGUAUCAUUAAGUGAAUACAUAGCUUAAUGAGGGGAACUCAGGGAACUGAAACAUCUAAGUACCUGAAGGAAGAGAAAGAAAUUCGAUUCCGUAAGUAGCGGCGAGCGAACGCGGAUUAGCCCAAACCAAUAAAGUUUUCUUUAUUGGGGUUGCGGACAUAUCAUAACGAAGAGGUAUCGUAAUUGAAGAGGUUUGGAAAGACCCACCACAGAAGGUAAUAGUCCUGUAUGUUAAACGAGAAGACUUCAGAUAUGAUCCAGAGUACCACGGGACACGUGAAACCCUGUGGGAAGCAGGAGGGACCACCCUCCAAGGCUAAAUACUACCUAGUGACCGAUAGCGUAUAGUACCGUGAGGGAAAGGUGAAAAGAACCCCGGGAGGGGAGUGAAAUAGAACCUGAAACCCUGCACUUACAAGCUGUGGAAGCACAUUUCUUGUGUGACCGCGUACUUUUUGUAGAACGGGCCAACGAGUUACGUUAAGUAGCAAGGUUAAGCACUUAAGGUGCGGAGCCGUAGCGAAAGCGAGUUUUAACUGAGCGUUCAGUUACUUGACGUAGACCCGAAACCGGGCGACCUACCCAUGAGCAGGAUGAAGCGAAAGUAAAAUUUCGUGGAGGUCCGAACCCACGAGCGUUGAAAAGCUCGGGGAUGACUUGUGGGUAGCGGUGAAAUUCCAAUCGAGCCCGGAGAUAGCUGGUUCUCCCCGAAAUAGCUUUAGGGCUAGCCUCAAGGUGAGAGAUACGGAGGUAGAGCACUGAAUGUCCUAGGGGGUAUUGCACCUACCGAAGACUAUCAAACUCCGAAUGCCGUCAUCUUAUACUUGGGAGUCAGACUGUGGGUGAUAAGAUUCAUAGUCGAAAGGGCAACAGCCCAGAUCGUCAGCUAAGGUCCCUAAAUGUAAGUUAAGUGGUAAAGGAUGUGGGAUUGCACAGACAACCAGGAUGUUGGCUUAGAAGCAGCCACUCAUUCAAAGAGUGCGUAAUAGCUCACUGGUCGAGUGAUCCUGCGCCGAAGAUUUCCGGGGCUAAAACUUACUACCGAAGCUACGGCAUCAGUAAUGAUGGGUAGGGGAGCUUCCCAUACGGGUUGAAGCAUGACCGUAAGGACAUGUGGACAGUAUGGGAGUGAGAAUGUUGGCAUGAGUAGCGAGAUGUGGGUGAGAAUCCCACAGGCCGUAAACCCAAGGUUUCCAGGGGAAGGUUCGUCCGCCCUGGGUUAGUCGGGACCUAAGCUGAGGCCGAAAGGCGUAGGUGAUGGACAACAGGUUGAUAUUCCUGUACUACCGAUAACCGUUUGAGAGAAGGGAUGACACAGUAGGAUAAGCUAAGCACACUGUUGGUUAUGUGUGCCCAAGCAUUGAGGCAGUCAAAGUAGGCAAAUCCGCUUUGAUAAUGCUGGGAUGUGAUGGGGAGCGAAAUUUAGUAGCGAAGUAGCUGAUUUCACACUGUCAAGAAAAGUCUCUAUCGAGGUUAAAGGUACCCGUACCGCAAACCGACACAGGUGGGUGAGGAGAGUAUCCUAAGGCCAGCGAGAGAACUGUUGUUAAGGAACUCGGCAAAAUGACCCCGUAACUUAGGGAUAAGGGGUGCCACCAUCAGGUGGCCGCAGAGAAUAGGCCCAAGCGACUGUUUACCAAAAACAUAGGUUUCUGCUAAGUCGCAAGACGAUGUAUAGGAGCUGACGCCUGCCCGGUGCUGGAAGGUUAAGGGGAUCUGUUAGAGCAAUCGAAGCAGUGAACUUAAGCCCCAGUAAACGGCGGCCGUAACUAUAACGGUCCUAAGGUAGCGAAAUUCCUUGUCGGGUAAGUUCCGACCCGCACGAAAGGCGUAACGAUUUGGGCACUGUCUCAACAACAGACUCGGUGAAAUUGUAAUUCCGGUGAAGAUGCCGGAUACCUGCGACAGGACGGAAAGACCCCAUGGAGCUUUACUGUAGCUUGACAUUGGGUCUUGGUACUACAUGUACAGGAUAGGUGGGAGGCUUUGAAACCAGGACGCCAGUUUUGGCGGAGCCAUCCUUGGGAUACCACCCUUGUAGUACUGGGACUCUAACCAUAGGCCAUGAAUCUGGUCUUGGGACACUGUCAGGUGGGCAGUUUGACUGGGGCGGUCGCCUCCCAAAAGGUAACGGAGGCGCUCAAAGGUUCUCUCAGUACGGUCGGAAAUCGUACGUAGAGUGUAAAGGCAAAAGAGAGCUUGAUUGCAAGACAUACAGGUCGAGCAAGGAUGAAAAUCGGACUUAGUGAUCCGGUGGUUCUGCGUGGAAGGGCCAUCGCUCAACGGAUAAAAGCUACCCUGGGGAUAACAGGCUUAUCUCCCCCAAGAGUCCACAUCGACGGGGAGGUUUGGCACCUCGAUGUCGGCUCAUCACAUCCUGGGGCUGUAGUAGGUCCCAAGGGUUGGGCUGUUCGCCCAUUAAAGUGGUACGCGAGCUGGGUUCAGAACGUCGUGAGACAGUUCGGUCCCUAUCCGUCGCAGGCGUAGGAAAUUUGAGAAGACCUGUCCUUAGUACGAGAGGACCGGGAUGGACGUACCUCUGGUGUACCAGUUGUUCUGCCAAGGGCAUGGCUGGGUAGCUAUGUACGGAAUGGAUAAGCGCUGAAAGCAUCUAAGCGCGAAGCCAACUUCAAGAUAAGAUUUCCCACCGCAAGGGUAAGACCCCAGAAAGACUAUCUGGUUGAUAGGUCGAAGGUGUAAGUGCAG